rnacentral:lncRNA from 1 species
GUGAUUGCAGUGUUCUUUCUCUGGUUUUUUUUUUGCUUCUUUAUUCAUCUAUUUCGUGCUCAAAAAGGAAAAAGAAGGGAGAAGAGUGAGGAACGUACCUGGUGACCGGCCUCGUGCUCGCUCCGUCGCAAUCGGAGUCGUGCAUGGGAUUCGGAAAGCCCCUGUUCUGAGGCGAUAAACAUCGCAUGAGAAAAAGGAGGAGUGCUUAGGUUUUGGUUUCAAAAGAGCAGAUCGGGUUUAGUUUAGGGUUUUUUUAUUUUUAUCUUAAUCAUGGAAACGGCGUCGUUUUCACUGAUUGGAUUUGAGCAUCCGAACAUGUGUUUAAUUUCUGUUUUAGUCCUCUUUGUUAUUUUAUUAUGAUUCUUACCCUCUUUUUCAUUUUUGCUCCGCUUUAGUCCCAAAUCUGUUAGAUUUCACUUUAUUUUUGCAAUGUAUUUAUUUAUUUUAAACUUUAUAUUAUUUAUUUUAAAUCGUUCUAUUAUUAUUUAUUUUAAGUUUUUUAUAUAUUAUGUAUUUUAAAUUAUGUUAAUCAAUUAUUCAUUUUAAAUAUAUAUUAUUUAUGUUAAACUACAUAUUUAUAUUAUUUAUUUGGAAUUGUUUUUAUGCACAUCAUGCAUUAUCGUUUUAAAAAAAAAAUUGUUUGCAUAUUAUUCAUUUAAGAUUCCUUCUGACAUAUUAUUUAUUUUAAACAUUUUACAUAUUACUUUAAAUUGUUUUCUAUGUUAUUUAUUUUUUAAAUUGCUUUGAGGAUUAUUCAUUUUAACUUGUUUUACACAUUAUUUUAAUAUGUAUGGAAUUAUUUUAAUAUAUAUAUACGUGUAUAAAAUGUAUUGUAACUGGUAAUUUCUAAAAUUUUAUUCUACGUUUUAAAAUUUUUAUCAUUUCGAUUAUGUUGAUUGGUUUACUUGGGAUUAAAUUAUUAUUGCAUCAAUUAUUCUCUUUUUGUUAUUUCUAAGAUCGAUUAUUAGUUUAUUUGAUUAUUAAUGUCGAUGUAUUAUAUAUGUGGUUGCUCCAAUUUGUAGAAGUAAUUUGCUAUUCAUCAUUCGCUCCGUAUAUUGUUAUAUUAUUUGUAAGAAUUGCAUUCCAUUAAAACAUUAUAAUCGUUUUAUUUCAAAACUCCUAAAAAAGGAUUGGUGUUUAAUAGUUCUCGAGAGAAUUGUGCCCUAACUUACUGGGCUUCAACUCUCUUCGAUGGAUUUAUAUCAUCAAGUUUCCAUUUUAUUUAAACCACACCAUUAUCAACAUAAAUUUUUUCAGGAUUUCAAAAUGUUGGACCCUAACUCACUGGAUCCAAUAAUUUUGCUAUUCAGAAUUAAGGAUUUUCUUUAUAAAGGCAAUAUUCGAUGUUUAGGAAUUUCGAGAAAUUAAACCCUAAUUUACUAGGUCUUAAUUUUUCGUUGGACUUAAAUAAUCAGAUAUCCUGCUCAAAAUGCAUAGGUUUUAAAAGUUAUGAGAUAAACUUAAUUUUGAUGAUUGAAGUGUUACGCUCUAACUCACUGAGUAUGGCAAUUCAUGAGUACAUUUUACCUAAAUUUUCUUUUCAAAGGAUCGUAUUUUAAAUUUUUUUUUUAAAGUUUCAACACUAAGACAUUAAAAAAUCGAUUCGAUACCAAUUUUGGGCGUUACGAGGGUGUUAACCCUUCCUCGUGCGUAACCGACUCCUGGACCUAUUUUCUCAAAUCUCGCAGACUUAAAAUUUAUUUUAAUGAUGAACCGAUCACACCUUAAUAAAAUAUCGGUGGCGACUCCAUUUCCAUUUUCAAAAUCGAUACCCAUUUUUCAAAUUUCAAAAAAGUGGUUCGACAAUGACAACAUUAGGAAGUAUAUUAUGACAUAUUAAUUCAAGAAAUGAUUAAAUCGCAAAAGUGAGACAAAUUUUAUUAUCCAAGAGUAAAUACUCAAAAUUUAAGGGGUUAAAGUGUAAAUAUUAAAAAAUUGAAGGACCAAAGGUGUAAAUAUUUUAAGGGUGGAAUGACCUAGAAACUAAGGAAAAUGGAUAGAUUAGGACCAAAUUGAAAAAGGUGAAUAAUUUUGAGGGACUAAAUCAUAAUUUUACCAAAUUAAGUGAUGACUCAAGGAUGGAAUUUUAAAAUAUUAUAAAGAGAAAAAUGGUCAAUUAAAGAGAGAGAACUCUAGAAGGUAAUGAUGAUGUUGGUGAUAUUUUUAUUAAUUAAUUAGAUAAAUGUUAUUUAUUUAAUAUUUUAUUAAGAUUUUUAGUAUUAUUUUAUUAUUAAAUGAUUAAUAUAAAAGGGAGGAAAGAUGAAAAAAAUUCAUCAUCUUUUCCAUGCAACCAACGUGAGAAGAGAGAAAGAAAGAAAGCUUUGCUUUCUUUACAAUUUGGUCCUCUCACCAAAAAUUCACCAUUUUCACUUAAAAUUUAAAGAAAUUUCCAUAGCCACCAAAAGAGAAAUUUGAUAAGGAGACUAUGGGGAGCUAGAAUAUCAAGUUAGAUUCAAGAAAUAAAGGCUCGAGGAGAGAUAAAAUCAAGUUAAAGAUUGAAAUCAAUAGCACAAGGUAAGAACAUCAAGAUUUCAAUAUAUUUUUGAGUUUGAUAUUAUUGAAAAAGUAUGAAAUUGAUGUUAAUGUAGGGUUUUAUUAUAUAAGGUUCUAUGUUCUUGAUAUGUUAGUGAAGAAAAAUAAGAGAAAAUGAUGGGAAAUACUAUAGAGAAAGAGAAUAAGGGUGUUAUAAAUUUAGUAAUCAACAUUUUGCACUAAAACAGUUUUUGACAGCAACAGUAGGUUAACUUUGAAAAAUUACCAUAAAUCGUGGAAAUUGAAUUAUAGGAUGAAAAAUAUAUGAAAUUAAAACUUAUUAAGUCUAGUUUCUCAUAGAAGAAACGGUGUAAUCAAUGGUAUUAUAAAUUAUGAGAUAUAAUUUUUGUGAGACAAUAUCAGAAUGAAUUCGGGUUUCCCUGUUCUGACUUUGGAAAAUCAUUAAAAAUUGUACAAAAAUGAUUAUGAGUUAUAAUUCAUAUGUUUAGAAUCCUUAAUAAGUCUAUUUUUAAAAAGAAUAAACGAGAACAUUAUCCGAAUCCUAUACAAUGAGAUAAUUAAUUUUUAGUGAAGAAGAGUUGAAACUGUCAAACAGCAGAACAGGGAUGACUUUAAAGAAUAAACUGUACUUAUUGGAUAAACCAAAAAUUAUGAAAAUUUUAUGGUAAGAAUAUAUGAGCCUAGUUUCAGAUAAAAUUUACGAAUUUCAAUUCGAAGUCCUGUAGCUUAAGAUAUAAUUAAUUUAGUGACUAUGACUCAAGUGAACAAAUUGUUAUGAGUAAACAAGUAAAUAGUGGCAAUAUAUAUAUCAAGGAUGUGAAAUAGAGUGGAUGAGGAGGAAAAAUAAUAUAUGUGAAUAUUCAACUAAUAUGAGUUUAAUUUAAGAUAGCUAAUUUACAUGUUUUAGGUUCAGAGACUAAAUUGAAUAAAAGUAAAAUUUUAAGGGUAAUUUUGUAAAAAUAUAAAAAAAACCAAAUUGCAUGAAAUGAAUUGUUUUAUCAUUUAAAUUAAUAAAUUAAAUGAAAUAUUAAUUUAGAUCAAGAUUUGGGUGGAAAUUCGAGAAAAAUAGAAAAUUACCAAAAUGUCCCUAAAUUUUGAUAUUUCUACAAUUUAGCCCGGUAAGUUCGUGUAACUUGAAUUAUAUUGUUAAAUGCUUAAAAUGUUUGUUAUUGAUGUGAAUAUGAUUUGAAUGUUCAUUAUAUGAAAAUUGAUGAAACAUUGAUAUAUUUGAUAAAAAGGGGAAGAAAUCUCGGUUGAAUGGAAGAAAAUUCGAUGGAUCUCUAAAAAGAAAUUGAUAGUAAAAAGGAUCUAUCCCAGAUGGGUGAUCCUAUCUUGAUAUAGCCCUCCCGAAGAAUAUGUGUGAAAAAGAUCUAGCACGGAUGGGUGAUCUUGAUAUAGCCCUCCCGAAAAAUAUGUGAAAAAUAGAUUUAGCCCGGACGGGUAAUCCAAAUUAGGGUCUAAAUUUAGCUUGGAUUGGUAAUUCAAAUCCAAGCUCAUUAGAGUAAUUGUCAUUACAGGGGAUUUAGCCUGAACUGAUAAUCCAGACAAUACUCUAUGAGUUUAUAUUAAAGGAGAUUUAGCCUAAACUGGUAAUCCCACUGUAAGAAAUGACGUUCGCGGGAGUGUACUCUCUUGGAAAAUGUGCGCACAUGAAUAUGAAUUGACGGACCCGAAUUAGUACACUAAAGUGUCCCCCUGAAAAUCCAUCAAAAUUUCGAAAAAUUCAACGGGAUAAAAAUAGAAAAAUGAUAAGUACUUAAAAUCAUGAAAUUAAACUUGAAAUACAUAGAAAUGAUAAUUAUUUGAUAUACUAAAAUAUGACAUGGAAAAUACAUGUAUGUGAAACUUGUCUGAUAAUUAUGCAUAUUCAAGAUUAUGAACUGCUACUGGAAUAAAUAUACAUUGAAAUCUAAAAAAAAUUAUGGUACAUGAAAUAUUGUCAUAAUGAAUUGAAUAAUUUAUAUUUAAAAAGAAACAACAAGAAAAUGAUAUGUAUAAUGACAUGUAAAUAUGAGACUAUCUUUGAUACGUUGAUACUAAGAAAAAUUAUGUGUAUUAAGACGAGUAAUAAAUUUAAGUGAGACAUGGCGAGAAAAUAAGUUUGUCAAUAUUAAAGUACGCUAACCAAUGUUGUUGCUUGAAUUUUAGGCAAGUGCCAAAUUACUAUUGAAUGAUAAUAUGUUUAAUUAUAAGGUGCUUUGGAAUGGUAAGUGCUUAGAUAAAAAUAUAAUUGAGCUUAUGAAAGAGUGGAAAGGUUUCAGUUAUGCAAUUUCUUAUGAAAAAAUUUGUUAUAUGAUACGCCCCGUAUGAACCCUGCACCUAAUUUGAAAAUAAAAAAAAAAUUAAAAUCUAUAUAUAUAUUUAGGAUUUUGCGAAAAAUUUCCUAUGAUUCCGAUUUAAUCUCAGUAGGUUCCUAAUAAAUGUUUUGGGCUUCGAGAGCCCAAUAGAGGGACGUUAUGAUUAUUUUCAGAAUAUGAAUAAUAAAUGGUUCAAAAUUAUUGAAAAUGUUUAGUAAACUCCGGUAAUGCUUCGUGCCCUAUUUCGACAACGGAUAUGGGUAGGGGGUGUUACACUUCUUCCCAUUUCGGUAAAAGCAUUUCCACCAAGAUUGCAAUCAUCGGAUGCAACAAAGUCGGGUGAAAACAAUUGCAAACCAUGAUUGUGCGUAUUAAAUGCAUCCCGCAACAUACCUUCCAUGUCAUCUUUUCUAACAGACUGAUGGUAAUCACUAUGAGGAUAAGCCAGAUUAAUCGUCGAAGAGAUUCUACUGGUGUGCACUCUCCAUGGAAAAUCCAUUUUUUAUACCCCCGAAUAAACCCAUCAACAAUUAGAUGUUCGUAGACAACUUUACGAAAAUGCCAAUUGAUGUUGCCACACUUUUUACACAGGCAAAGAAUCAUAUUCUCUUGGCUUGCAUUUUGAAAUGCAAAAUUUAGAAAAGUUUGUAGUCCAUUUCGUAGUUCUUGAAGUCUAAAGUUGACAAUAAAUUACACGGGUAAGUUGUUUAUUUAUAAGUAUAAUUAAGUUAUGUAAGUUAUGAUAUGAUAUAUAUUUAUGUAUUAUGUAAGUUAUGAUAUGAUAUAUAUAAGUUAUGUAAGUUAUGAUAUGAUAUAUAUAAGUUAUGUAAGUUAUGAUAUGAUAUAUAUAACUUAUGUAAGUUAUGAUAUGAUAUAUAUAUAUAAGUUAUUAUGUAUGUAUGUGAGUUAUGUAAAUUAUGAUAUGAUAUAUAUAAGUUAUUAAGUUAAGAUCCCAAGUUUUUUUUCAAUUCUUUAAAGUUAAGUAAAUUAUGUAAGUUAUGUAAGUUUUGAUAUGAUAUAUAUUUAUGUAAGUUAUGUAAAUUAUGCAAGUUAUGUAAGUUAUGAUAUAUAUUUUAUAAGUUUUAAAAACAUUUAAAAAUAUUAAAUAUUAAAAUCAAACAUUUUUAAUAUCAAAAAAAUAGUAAUUUGAUUUUUAUAUUAAAAUAAAUUUAAAUAAUGAUCAAAAUUAUCAUAUUGAUAAAAAAUAUUUAUAAGUUUUAAAAAAAUUUAAAAAUAUUAAAUAUUAAAAUCAAAUAUUAAGUUUUGAUAUGAUAUAUAUUUAUGUAAGUUAUGUAAAUUAUAUAAUAUUUUAAAAUAGAAACUUUAAAAUAUUAUUUUAAGCGGAUAUUAUUUAUUUUAAUUUUAAAGACAAAAUCGUAAAUGAAUCUCUUUUUUUUUUUUAAAAAAAAAACUCUAAUAAACCUGGAAGUUAUAUAUAACGAAAGCUGUCAUGAGUGUGAAAGGGGAAACUAUAAGAUUCAAAGUUGUAAAUUUUAGAAACAAAAAAAAAAAAAAGUUAGGCAAAUGUUCAAUAAUGAUUUAUGAAUGAAAUAUUCAGAUUAUUAGUUUGAAUUGAUUGAUUUAAUUAGUGAAAUAAGGUGAUUCUAGAAUUAAUAAUAUCAUUUUCAUUAUUAUGAUUGGUGGUCUGCAAAUUAUUCACUCUGACAAUUAAAUUAUUUUGACAAAACUUACUAUUUUCCUCUAAAUCAUGUAUAUUCAUGAAUCUUGAUUUUGAUCCCAGUGGGGGAAAAUUUUCAUUUUAUGGCUAUGAAUUUGGAAGAGUUGAAGUUCAUCUUCAUCAAAGAGAUGACAAAGCUAUUACCUUGUCAUAUAGGAAGGUAGAGCAAUUUACCGUGAAGAAAUUUGUCAAAAUUUAACUCAAGUUAAUGGCUUAACAAUUGAAGUAAUGAAUGAUACAGAAGCAGAGACAAAUGAUGCAGAGGCAGAGACAAAUUUCAUGAUUGAAGUAGAAUGCUCAAGUUAGGUUUACGGAUUCAAAAAUUACACUAUCACAUUCAACUAUAGAACCAAAAGGGGGAAAGGGAAGAAAAACAAAAAGGCAGAAAAUAAGGAAUGAGAAAUUGAACCAAAAGGCAUAAGAUAUAGAAAUAGAAGGAAUACAAUAAGAGAUUCCAGCAAAAGAGAAAAACAGAUUUGCAAAGAACUAUUUGUUAUUAUAACGCAGGAAUGCUCAAAGCAAAUAUGGAGAAAAACGUUGAUUGAUUAAGAUAUAUAUAUAUAUAUCUUAAACAUUCAGCAUUAAAAGAAAAGAAGAUAUUGGUGAUUAUGUAUACAAAAAUUUCGGGGGGGUGGGGGGGGAGAAGAAGAAAAGAGAGCUUACCGAGCUCGAAAACUUGAAGAAUGGGAGGGAAACACUAAUAAGGGAUUUUGUUACGGAAAAUCCUAAUUUGUGAGAUUGAAAGAGAAGCUUUUAAUUUCGCACGAGCUUUAGAAUCGGGGUUGUGCCCUACAGAUAGCAAUAGAAGCAAUGAAGAAAUUAAAGAGAAAGAAAAAACAAAGCAAGCAUUAAAGAAAGAAAAAAUCAAAGAGAAAAAGGAACAGCCAUAUACCCAGUCAACGGAGAAAUUAGGUAAGGUGAUGAGAUUUUUACCAGUCAGCCCAAACGAGAAGCGAUCUUGCAGCGAGCAGAAGGCCGGAAAACAACGUUGAAGGGGUGAAAGAUCUAGGGAUUUGCAGGAGAGGAGAAAGACGGAAGGAGAGUCGGGGGCUGAGAUUUAGACUUAGAACAACAGACCACAAAAAAAAAAAAGAUGCCAUUUAAGUCAAACUGAUAUUGCAAUAUUUGCUGCGCUUAUAAAAAAACGUGACUAAUUGUAUAACUUUUG